rnacentral:rRNA from 1 species
CUCCUACGGGAGGCAGCAGUGGGGAAUAUUGGACAAUGGGCGCAAGCCUGAUCCAGCAAUACCGCGUGUGUGAAGAAGGCCUGAGGGUUGUAAAGCACUUUUAAUCGGGAGGAACAUCUGGUGGCCAAUACCCAUCAGUCUGACAUUACCGAUAGAAAAAGCACCGGCUAACUCCGUGCCAGCAGCCGCGGUAAUACGGAGGGUGCAAGCGUUAAUCGGAAUUACUGGGCGUAAAGCGUGCGUAGGCGGCUUAUUAAGUCAGAUGUGAAAGCCCCGGGCUUAACCUGGGAACUGCAUUUGAUACUGGUGAGCUAGAGUUGAGUAGAGGAGAGGGGAAUUUCAGGUGUAGCGGUGAAAUGCGUAGAGAUCUGAAGGAACACCAGUGGCGAAGGCGCCUCUCUGGACUCAAACUGACGCUGAGGUACGAAAGCGUGGGUAGCAAACAGGAUUAGAUACCCUGGUAGUCCACGCCGUAAACGAUGUCAACUAGCCGUUGGUCUUAUUCGUAAGAUUAGUGGCGCAGCUAACGCAUUAAGUUGACCGCCUGGGGAGUACGGCCGCAAGGUUAAAACUCAAAUGAAUUGACGGGGGCCCGUACAAGCGGUGGAGCAUGUGGUUUAAUUCGAUGCAACG